rnacentral:rRNA from 1 species
CGCGUAGGCGGCCAGGUAAGUCAGAUGUGAAAGCCCGGGGCUCAACCCCGGAAGUGCAUCUGAAACUGCUUGGCUUGAGUAUGGGAGAGGGUAGUGGAAUUCCUGGUGUAGAGGUGAAAUUCGUAGAUAUCAGGAGGAACACCGGUGGCGAAGGCGACUACCUGGACCAAUACUGACGCUGAGGCGCGAAGGCGUGGGGAGCAAACA